rnacentral:rRNA from 1 species
CACGGAGUUAGCCGGUGCUUCUUCUGCGAGUAACGUCAAUUGAUGAGCGUAUUAAACUCACCACCUUCCUCCUCGCUGAAAGUACUUUACAACCCGAAGGCCUUCUUCAUACACGCGGCAUGGCUGCAUCAGGCUUGCGCCCAUUGUGCAAUAUUCCCCACUGCUGCCUCCCGUAGGAGUCUGGACCGUGUCUCAGUUCCAGUGUGGCUGGUCAUCCUCUCAGACCAGCUAGGGAUCGUCGCCUAGGUGAGCCGUUACCCCACCUACUAGCUAAUCCCAUCUGGGUUCAUCUGAUGGCAAGAGGCCCGAAGGUCCCCCUCUUUGGUCUUGCGACGUUAUGCGGUAUUAGCUACCGUUUCCAGUAGUUAUCCCCCUCAUCAGGCAGAUCCCCAGACAUUACUCACCCGUCCGCCACUCGUCAGCGAAGCAGCAAGCUGCUUCCUGUUACCGUUCGACUUGCAUGUGUUAGGCCUGCCGCCAGCGUU